rnacentral:SRP_RNA from 1 species
GCCGGGUGCGGUGGCUCACACCUGUAAUCCCAGCACUUUGGGAGGCCGAGGCAGGCGGAUCUCUAGAGGUCGGGAGUUCAAGCCUGACCAACAUGGAGAAACCCUGCCUCUA